GGGAAUAUUGGACAAUGGGGGCAACCCUGAUCCAGCCAUGCCGCGUGUGUGAAGAAGGCCCUCGGGUUGUAAAGCACUUUCAGCGAGGAAGAACGCCUAGCGGUUAAUACCCGCUAGGAAAGACAUCACUCGCAGAAGAAGCACCGGCUAACUCCGUGCCAGCAGCCGCGGUAAUACGGAGGGUGCAAGCGUUAAUCGGAAUUACUGGGCGUAAAGCGCGCGUAGGUGGCUUGAUAAGCCGGUUGUGAAAGCCCCGGGCUCAACCUGGGAACGGCAUCCGGAACUGUCAAGCUAGAGUGCAGGAGAGGAAGGUAGAAUUCCCGGUGUAGCGGUGAAAUGCGUAGAGAUCGGGAGGAAUACCAGUGGCGAAGGCGGCCUUCUGGACUGACACUGACACUGAGGUGCGAAAGCGUGGGUAGCAAACAGGAUUAGAUACCCUGGUAGUCCACGCCGUAAACGAUGUCGACCAGCCGUUGGGUGCCUAGCGCACUUUGUGGCGAAGUUAACGCGAUAAGUCGACCGCCUGGGGAGUACGGCCGCAAGGUUAAAACUCAAAUGAAUUGACGGGGGCCCGCACAAGCGGUGGAGCAUGUGGUUUAAUUCGAUGCAACGCGAAGAACCUUACCUACUCUUGACAUCCUGCGAAUUUGGUAGAGAUACCUUAGUGCCUUCGGGAACGCAGAGACAGGUGCUGCAUGGCUGUCGUCAGCUCGUGUUGUGAAAUGUUGGGUUAAGUCCCGUAACGAGCGCAACCCUUGUCCUUAUUUGCCAGCGCGUAAUGGCGGGAACUCUAAGGAGACUGCCGGUGACAAACCGGAGGAAGGUGGGGACGACGUCAAGUCAUCAUGGCCCUUACGAGUAGGGCUACACACGUGCUACAAUGGUCGGUACAAAGGGUUGCCAACUCGCGAGAGUGAGCCAAUCCCGAAAAGCCGAUCUCAGUCCGGAUCGGAGUCUGCAACUCGACUCCGUGAAGUCGGAAUCGCUAGUAAUCGUGGAUCAGAAUGCCACGGUGAAUACGUUCCCGGGCCUUGUACACACCGCCCGUCACACCAUGGGAGUGGACUGCACCAGAAGUGGUUAGCCUAACGCAAGAGGGCGAUCACCACGGUGUGGUUCAUGACUGGGGUGAAGUCGUAACAAGGUAACC
rnacentral:rRNA from 1 species